GGGUGGUACUACGGGGUACUACAGACACAACUCUACAAACAUGUACCAUUAUGAACUAUUUCAGAUUCUGGCCUUUGCGUGUGUAGUGUUGUAUGGUGCUCAGGUCCAAGGGCUAGAAUUCCCGACUCCCAUGUGUUCAACAGAUCCCAAAUCAACUGUCAGCCCAGGAGAUCCCAGACUUCCUAUUCUGCCCUCGGAGUUCGAAGUCCACGUGGAAGGUACAAUCAUUGACCAGUCGAUGACGGUGACGGCCGACGAGUAUGUAUCGGUGAUCAUUGGAGCAUCGUCCCUGCAGGUGACGCAGGGUGGGAAUAGCGAAACUGUUAUUCUCAACACCAACACAAACGAAAGUUAUCACAUUUUUGAUUCAGAGUGUACCGUGUAUAACAGGUCGACCGACGUUGUGGACGUGUUGAACGGGGGUUCGUCAGGCAUGUCGUCAAUGCCACAUACAUACUCCACAGCGUCUGUGCUCAAGUUCGCCCAGAAGUAUGGCGAGGUAUAUAAAGGCCAGAAAACCGUUCGGGGCAUUUCGUGUGAUCACUGGCAGUCGUGCAUGUACUGGGGGUUUCUCGGCGUCAACUUCACUCUCGACUACUACUUCUCUGUUUCCAACUGGACAACAGCAGACGGUUCUCCUCGAAUCCCGGUCAGGGCUGAAAUCAUCGGCUACCAGAAUUUGCUGGGCCCCGGACCCGAUUCGAGCUUUCAUCAUAUAUAUGACUAUACUGGCUUCAAGAGCUAUCUCACUGACAUAACAGUUUUUCAGACGCCAGUAGGUGUGGCCUGUGAAGGCCGCCGUCAGACACGCCGCAUGCCGCAGCUGAGGCAAAGGUACCGGUACAGACAGGAGGUGACACAUCUCAGCGAACAGAUGGUUUACCAAGAAGACGUGUGGUAUGACUACAACCUCCAACUCGUCCGCUGGGACCACCGCCCCACACACAAAGACAACCACUACAACACCCUGGACGCUAUCACCGAGAUUCACGACUUCAACACAGGUGUGGCUUAUGUUAUUUACAAAGACUUCCCUCGCUGCAACAUCUUUCCCAUACAGAACAAUACCUGGGAUGCAACUAGAAAUGCGUCAACGUCAUCACUGAGACUGAAGCAGCCAGAGGAAAUGUUCAGCCUGGAUUCAUCGUAUGCUUAUUCAGGACAGCGAACAGUCCGUGGAAUGGCCUGUGAUGUGUACUCAGCGGUUCGGGCGGACUAUGAGAGUCUCCGUGGUCUUAAUGUCACAUUUGAGAUCUAUUUCAUUAGCCAUGACUGGCAUAGUGCUAACGACAUCGGCACCGAACCCGACAGCACGGACACGCCUGUCAGACAACACAUAACAGAACCAACAACUGGUUAUGAAGUCAUCUACGACUAUUACGACUUCGACCAAACACAUCCAAAUGUCAUCAACGCCUUCGACAUCACGUCAUGCUACAGAGACAACCAAGAUAUAAACUUUCAGAUAACGUUCCCAGGUAAUACAAGUUCUAUUUUGCCCGCCCAAGAAAACGUCGUGCAUGACGUGGCAAGGAUGGACAUUGCCGGUGCAGCCCGAGUGACCCCUCUACGUAUUCAGGAUCUGGAAGUUCACUGGGAUGAGAACAAUACGUACAUCAUUGGGACAUUGCUGUAUCAGGCCCCUCUCACCGGUGGCGCUGACCACGAGGUGAGCAUUGGUCAGGCUUACACGGCUCUGGAUACUGCGGUGACAAGCGGUCAACUGGUUCUUGGUGUUCCCCAAGGAAAUACGAGCACUGUUCUUAACGCAACGAGCAUCACAACAGACAUCUGGAGGCAACAGACAUCAGCAGUGCAGUAUUCAUCCAAAUUAUCAGUCUUGCAUCAUUUCACGUUUUCUGCAAAUCGUGCAUUUCCCAGAGGGGAUGGUAAUAUGGUCCUAACCGGACUGUCACUAGAAGACUGCGCUGGUCAGUGUCUAGCUGCCUUGGUCUUCUCGUGCCGGACAUUUCAGUACCAACCAAGUAGUGGCAAGUGUUCCCUCACCUCUGACCUCCCUGACACAAGUCAUACAGCAAGCCACGUGGAGGCGUCGCAUGUCUACACACGCGAUUAUACACUGGGGUUUGGAGUGCUCUAUUCCACGUACAUCGGGAGCAAGUCCUUCUCAGAGACACACCCCAGCAUUCCCACGGUCAACUCGUGUGCACAGCUUUGUAUAGAUGCGUCGACGUCAAAACCAUGUACAUCUUUUAAUUACGCCCAGAAAUACGGCACGUGUGUCCUUGAGUCACAUGACCUGAACGACGUGUCCCCCUCUGAUGGUGUUUCAAGCACUAUCUGGAACCACUACUCACGUGACUACAGCUCAGACUUCAAGGAAAGCAAGGGGUAUACCAUAUCGCAAAAAGCUAAACUGACUAUUCAGCAAAGUUCGGUAACUGACUGCGCAAUGUUGUGCGUAGCAGAAACGGAUUUCUCGUGUGACAGCUUCAUAUUUUGCACGGAUCUCACGUGCAGACUCCAAACAGAGUCUCUUUUUGACGUGGAUCACGUGUCAGCUAUCCCGUUUGAUGGGUGCAGUAUUUACAACCGUAUGCAUUACCCGAAUGGGCGUCUCUACCUUCCACAUGAUCUCACGGCGAACACCUGUCUUCAGAGUAGCUACCAGCCCCAGUACAACUCAAGCAAUAACAGAUGGGCCAGCGAAUGUAACUGCACACACAGAAGCUCCCUCAUCAUCAGCGACACCGACAACCACGACUGGAUCGACAACAGCUACAUCCACAUCAACUACUAUCAAGGUGCAGAAACCUACUCCUUGUGCUUGUGUCUGCAACAGCCCCACAACGUCAGCUGCAUCCACAUCAGCUACUGUCAAGGCGGAGAAAACUACUCCAUGUGCUUGUGAAGGCAAAAGCUCUACGUUGUUAGCUGCAUCACCCUCCUCCACAAGAACGUUUACAGGAGGACACAAAACAUCACCGUCGUCGUCGGCGACGCAGUGUGGGGAAACGUCACCGUCAAAAUCUUCGCCAGCAACAG
rnacentral:misc_RNA from 1 species